AACAGGAUUAGAUACCCUGGUAGUCCACGCCGUAAACGAUGAGUGCUAGGUGUUAAGGGGUUUCCGCCCCUUAGUGCUGCAGUUAACGCAUUAAGCACUCCGCCUGGGGAGUACGGCCGCAAGGCUGAAACUCAAAAGAAUUGACGGGGGCCCGCACAAGCGGUGGAGCAUGUGGUUUAAUUCGAAGCUACGCGAAGAACCUUACCAGGUCUUGACGUCCCUUUGACCUCCUUAGAGAUAAGGAUUUCCCUUCGGGGACAAAGGUGACAGGUGGUGCAUGGUUGUCGUCAGCUCGUGUCGUGAGAUGUUGGGUUAAGUCCCGUAACGAGCGCAACCCUUAAUAUUAGUUGCCAGCAUUAAGUUGGGCACUCUAAUGUGACUGCCGGUGACAAACCGGAGGAAGGUGGGGAUGACGUCAAAUCAUCAUGCCCCUUAUGACCUGGGCUACACACGUGCUACAAUGGAUGGAACAACGGGCAGCUAAACCGCGAGGUGGAGCGAAUCCCAUAAAACCAUUCUCAGUUCGGAUUGUAGGCUGCAAUUCGCCUACAUGAAGCAGGAAUCGCUAGUAAUCGCGGAUCAGCAUGCCGCGGUGAAUACGUUCCCGGGCCUUGUACACACCGCCCGUCACACCACGAGAGUCGGUAACACCCGAAGUCGGUGAGGUAACCUUUCGAGGGGCCAGCCGCCGAAGGUGGGACCAAUGAUUGGGGUGAAGUCGUAACAAGGUAGCCGUAUCGGAAGGUGCGGCUGGAUCACCUCCUU
rnacentral:rRNA from 1 species